AUACGGAGGGGGCUAGCGUUGUUCGGAAUUACUGGGCGUAAAGCGCACGUAGGCGGAUUAAAAAGUUAGAGGUGAAAUCCCAGGGCUUAACCCUGGUACUGCCUUUAAAACUAGUAGUCUAGAGUUCGAGAGAGGUGAGUGGAAUUCCAAGUGUAGAGGUGAAAUUCGUAGAUAUUUGGAGGAACACCAGUGGCGAAGGCGGCUCACUGGCUCGAUACUGACGCUGAGGUGCGAAAGCGUGGGGAGCAAACAGGAUUAGAAACCCCAGUAGUCC
rnacentral:rRNA from 1 species